UGAAGCAAUAGAUUUUUAAAAUAAGAAGACCCAUGCUUUGGUUUCUUGAUUCUUAAAAAAAAAAUGUUGAACCAACUUCCUGAACUAGAAGCCAUGGAAAUGAAAAGCCAGCAGAGCAAACAGAUGAAGCUGAGUGUUUUGUUAAUCUGUAAAGUCAGCAUUCCUCACAUGGUCCAUAUUCCUUCUUCCUGGAUCAGACAUCUGCUUGUUUGUGUUUUCCAUCCAGGCAGUGUUUUAUCCCUUCCCUUCCUCUCCAAAAUGUUUGUUGAUUUUCAGAUUUGCAGGAAGAUCUUUAUGUGAUGGCUGUAUUUAUUCCUUUGCAGCUCUUGAUAUAGUAAAAUGUAUCUCUGAUUCUUGUCUACAUUCAAGUUUAGUGAUUUCCUAGCUUCUUGGUCAAUACUUGUACCUCUUCAGGCUUUGAGUUUGUUUUGUGAGAAGGAGGCUGAGAAUUUCUUCUUCAAAUUGCUUCAGGUUAAGUGACCUUCUGCCUAGGAGUCU
rnacentral:lncRNA from 1 species